rnacentral:rRNA from 1 species
UACGGGGGGGGCAAGCGUUGUUCGGAAUUACUGGGCGUAAAGGGCGCGUAGGCGGCCUGCUAAGUCGGACGUGAAAUCCCUCGGCUCAACCGAGGAACUGCGUUCGAUACUGGUGGGCUUGAAUCCGGGAGAGGGAUGUGGAAUUCCAGGUGUAGCGGUGAAAUGCGUAGAUAUCUGGAGGAACACCGGUGGCGAAGGCGGCAUCCUGGACCGGUAUUGACGCUGAGGCGCGAAAGCUAGGGGAGCAAACGGG